AUUGAACGCUGGCGGCAGGCCUAACACAUGCAAGUCGAGCGGUAACACAGGGAGCUUGCUCCCGGGUGACGAGCGGCGGACGGGUGAGUAAUGUCUGGGAAACUGCCUGAUGGAGGGGGAUAACUACUGGAAACGGUAGCUAAUACCGCAUAAUGUCGCAAGACCAAAGAGGGGGACCUUCGGGCCUCUUGCCAUCAGAUGUGCCCAGAUGGGAUUAGCUAGUAGGUGGGGUAACGGCUCACCUAGGCGACGAUCCCUAGCUGGUCUGAGAGGAUGACCAGACACACUGGAACUGAGACACGGUCCAGACUCCUACGGGAGGCAGCAGUGGGGAAUAUUGCACAAUGGGCGCAAGCCUGAUGCAGCCAUGCCGCGUGUAUGAAGAAGGCCUUCGGGUUGUAAAGUACUUUCAGCGGGGAGGAAGGUGCUGAGGUUAAUAACCUCAGCAAUUGACGUUACCCGCAGAAGAAGCACCGGCUAACUCCGUGCCAGCAGCCGCCGCGG
rnacentral:rRNA from 1 species